GAUGAACGCUGGCGGCGUGCCUAAUACAUGCAAGUCGAGCGAAUGGAUUAAGAGCUUGCUCUUAUGAAGUUAGCGGCGGACGGGUGAGUAACACGUGGGUAACCUGCCCAUAAGACUGGGAUAACUCCGGGAAACCGGGGCUAAUACCGGAUAACAUUUUGAACCGCAUGGUUCGAAAUUGAAAGGCGGCUUCGGCUGUCACUUAUGGAUGGACCCGCGUCGCAUUAGCUAGUUGGUGAGGUAACGGCUCACCAAGGCAACGAUGCGUAGCCGGCCGAGGGGGGUGAUCUGCCACACUGGGACUGAGACACGGCCCGGAAUCCUACGGGAGGCAGCAGUAGGGAAUCUUCCGCAAUGGACGAAAGUCUGACGGAGCAACGCCGCGUGAGUGAUGAAGGCUUUCGGGUCGGAAAACUCUGUUGUUAGGGAAGAACAAGUGCUAGUUGAAUAAGCUGGCACCUUGACGGUACCUAACCAGAAAGCCACGGCUAACUACGUGCCAGCAGCCGCCGUAA
rnacentral:rRNA from 1 species